CGUCUAAGACAGCGUAAACGCAUUGCGCAAAUAGAGCAGAGCUUACCGUCUUUUUCUAUUAGAGUCGCGAGCUUGGCUUGUUGUAGUCGGUCCGUGAAGAGAGAACUUGCUGCUUACUUGCUAUACGCCACGCGUUCUUGCACGGCUCGUUCUCGAGCCCUGCUUCUCCCGUCCCCCUCUCCUUUUUACUUUAUCGUCCAAACAAAGGCCGUAUGGAGUAUAGCCAAGUGGUAAGGCAUCGGUUUUUGGUACCGGCAUGCAAAGGUUCGAAUCCUUUUACUCCAGAUUAUGAACACCCGAUCGGAUCUGUCAAGAACGAGCUGACGACUACAGGGGAAGCGCCUGAUUGCAGUCCCUGAGCCCAGCCCCCGGAGCCGGAGCCGGAGGGGAGGAAUGCAUGGUUCCCUGGCGCUUCAUGGGACGGGCGUUCGCAGUCCCCCUCCCUCUAAUCUAACCCUCCCCCGCUCCCCAUACGAAUUUGAACUACGAUCCCCUGGAGC